rnacentral:rRNA from 1 species
UCUGAAUAUCUAUGGCUUUCGAGUUCUUUCGUGCUCUGAAUUCUAUGGCUAGAUAAAGUACAAGUCGUAACAAGGUUUCAGUUGGAGAACCAGCUGAAGGAUCAUUU